AGCUUCUCAAUUCCAUCAAUGCCGAUCUAUAUUUUUGGAGAAUCUUUUGUUCUUCAUCGAUAUUUAUCCACUUUUUCGAGUCUAAUAUCGUUUUCUUCAUCCUCCUCUUCGUUUCCACAUACGAAUCAACGAAAUCGAAGUGUUCUUCCUCUACUGAUAUCGUCGGACGGUUCACUUUCAUCGAAACCUAACGUUUUUUUUACACUUGGGAAAGAUUCCACUGAUAGGCUGCGGUGGUGUUAGAAGUGGUGAGGAUGCUUACAAGAAGACAAGAGCCGGAGCUACUAUUUUCCAGCUGUACAUUGGGUUUGCGUAUGGUGGACCUGCUCUCAUCCCACAAAAAAACUUAUCUCAUUCACAAAGAAGAGCUGGUGAGCUUAUUAGAAAGGGAUGGCUUCAAGUUGAUUCAAGAAGCUAUUGGUGCAGAUCAUAGAUGAUGAAACAAUAACAGUAACAAAAAAAUACAGAGGAGAGUCUCUUUUCUUACAGCAAAAACACAUUGAUUUGUUGUUUCUUUCUGCCUAAACAAUAACAUCAUGACUCCUGUCUGUUGUUUAAAUGCGAAAUAACAAAGCAACAUUUGUUUUUCUCA